rnacentral:rRNA from 1 species
AACGCUGGCGGCGUGCCUAAUACAUGCAAGUCGAACGAACGGAGGAAGAGCUUGCUCUUCCAAWGUUAGUGGCGGACGGGUGAGUAACACGUGGGCAACCUGCCUGUAAGUUGGGGAUAACUCCGGGAAACCGGGGCUAAUACCGAAUGAUAARRUGUGGCGCAUGCCACGCYUUUGAAAGAUGGUUUCGGCUAUCGCUUACAGAUGGGCCCGCGGUGCAUUAGCUAGUUGGUAGGGUAAUGGCCUACCAAGGCAACGAUGCAUAGCCGACCUGAGAGGGUGAUCGGCCACACUGGGACUGAGACACGGCCCAGACUCCUACGGGAGGCAGCAGUAGGGAAUCUUCCGCAAUGGACGAAAGUCUGACGGAGCAACGCCGCGUGUAUGAAGAAGGUUUUCGGAUCGUAAAGUACUGUUGUUAGAGAAGAACAAGGAUAAGAGUAACUGCUUGUCCCUUGACGGUAUCUAACCAGAAAGCC